rnacentral:rRNA from 1 species
AUUGAACGCUGGCGGCAUGCCUUACACAUGCAAGUCGAACGGCAACGCGGGGGGCAACCCUGGCGGCGAGUGGCGAACGGGUGAGUAAUAUAUCGGAACGUGCCCUAGAGUGGGGGAUAACUAGUCGAAAGAUUAGCUAAUACCGCAUACGAUCUACGGAUGAAAGUGGGGGAUCGCAAGACCUCAUGCUCUGGGAGCGGCCGAUAUCUGAUUAGCUAGUUGGNGAGGUAAAGGCUCACCAAGGCGACGAUCAGUAGCUGGUCUGAGAGGACGACCAGCCACACUGGGACUGAGACACGGCCCAGACUCCUACGGGAGGCAGCAGUGGGGAAUUUUGGACAAUGGGGGCAACCCUGAUCCAGCAAUGCCGCGUGUGUGAAGAAGGCCUCGGUUGUAAG